AGUGAACGCUGGCGGUAGGCCUAACACAUGCAAGUCGAACGGCAGCACAGUAAGAGCUUGCUCUUACGGGUGGCGAGUGGCGGACGGGUGAGGAAUACAUCGGAUUCUACUUUUUCGUGGGGGAUAACGGAGGGAAACUUACGCUAAUACCGCAUACGACCUACGGGUGAAAUCAGGGGAUCUUCGGACCUUGCGCGAUUGAAUGAGCCGAUGUCGGAUUAGCUAGUUGGCGGGGUAAAGGCCCACCAAGGCGACGAUCCGUAGCUGGUCUGAGAGGAUGAUCAGCCACACUGGAACUGAGACACGGUCCAGACUCCUACGGGAGGCAGCAGUGGGGAAUAUUGGACAAUGGGCGCAAGCCUGAUCCAGCCAUACCGCGUGGGUGAAGAAGGCCUUCGGGUUGUAAAGCCCUUUUGUUGGGAAAGAAAAGCAGCAGGUUAAUACGCCGCUGUUCUGACGGUACCCAAAGAAUAAGCACCGGCUAACUUCGUG
rnacentral:rRNA from 1 species